ACUUCCUGCAUACCGAUAAUCACACCCUCCUAGGAAACAAGUGUUUAAAUUCAUGGUAACACAAAGACCUAUUUUAAAGCCAACUGACUCUCACGAUUAUUAUUGUUGCAAGUGCCUGCAGAUCAGCGUAUAUCCUACGCUGAAGUUCAAAUAACGUCGAUCUAAAACAUAACAACAAUGAGCAAUGAGUUUUUGCUUCACAAAGAAAAUCCAAGCUACUGGAUAACGAUUGCCUUCUUUUAAUAAUGGUGCAAAUUUUGGAAGCAAUCCUUUUUGCAUUCUGUUUCCAUCGAGAGCGGAUAUGAUUGAAAAAUACGGAAAUGGACGAUCCCGACUUAUGGUGACCCUAUUAAUAGGGUGUUCAUGGUAACCUCCCUUGUAGACUGUGGGAAUGCUGUGGACAUAAUAUAUCUAGACUUCAGAAAAGCUUUUGACAAAGUGCCC